GGUUUGAUCAUGGCUCAGAUUGAACGCUGGCGGGAUGCUUUACCACAUGGGGUGAACGGCAGCACGGACUUCUUCGGUCUGUUGGCGAGUGGCGACGGGUGAGUAAUGUAUCGGAACGUGCCUAAUCAACGGAGGAUAACUGAAAGCGUAGCUAAUACCGCAUACGCCCUUCGGGGAAAAGCGGGGACCUUCGGGCCUCGCACUAUUAAAAACAGCCGAUAUCCGGAUUAGCUAGUUGGUGGAGAUAACAGCUCACCAAGGCGACGAUCGCCGGCUGGUUUGAGAGGACGACCAGCCACUGGGACUGGGGUGUGGCCCAGACUCCUACGGGGAGCAGCAGUGGGGAAUUUUGGUGCAAUGUGGGGGAAACCCUGAUCCAGCCAUCCCGCGGUAAUGCGAUGAAGGCCGGUUGUAUAAAGCACUUUUGGCAGGAAAGAAACGGCACGGGAUAAUACCCCGUGCAACUGACGGUACCUGCAGGAAUAUUAAGCACCGGCUAACUACGUGCCAGCCGCCGAUAUGCGGCAAUUCUGACGUUAAUCGGAAUUGCUGGGCGUAAGCGUGCGCAGGCGGUUCGGGAGAGAAAGAUGUGAAAUCCCAGAGCUUAACGGAACUGCACGUUUUUAACUACCGAGCUAGAGUAUGUGUCAGAGGAGGUGGAAUUCCGCGUGAUGGCAGUGAAAUGCGUGAAGCUAUGGAGGAGCCACCGAUGGCGAAAACAGCCUCCUGGGAUAACACUGACGCUCAUGCACGAAAGCGUGGGAGCAAACCUGGGAUUAGAUACCUGGUAGUCCACGCCUAAACGAUGUCAACUAGCUGUUGGAGCCUUCGGGCCUUGGUAACAGCUAACGCGUGAAGUUGACCGCCUGGGGAAUACGGUCGCAAGAUUAAAACUCAAAGGAAUUGACGGGGACCCGCACAAGCGGUGGAUGAUGUGGAUUAAUUCGAUGCAACGCGAAAAACCUUACCUACCCUUGACAUGUCUGGAAUCCCGAAGAGAUUUGGGGUGCUCGCAAGAGAACCGGAACACAGGUGCUGCAUGGCUUCAGCGUCAGCUCGUGUCGUGAGAUGUUGGAGUUAGUCCGCAACGGCGCAACCCUUGUCGUGAAUUUACGAAAGGGCACUCUAAUGAGACUGCCGGUGACAAAACCGGAGGAAGGUGGGGAUGACGUCAAGUCCUCAUAGCCCAUAUGGGUAGGGCUUCACACGUCAUACUAUUGGUCGGGACAGAGGGUCGCCAACCCGCGAGGGGAAUAAUCCCAGAGCCGAUCGUAGUCCGGAUCGCAGUCUGCAACUCGACUGCGUGAAGUCGGAAUCGCUGGCAAAUAUCGCGGAUCAGCAUGUCGCGGUGAAUACGUUCCCGGGUCUUGUACCCUGCCCGUCACACCAUGGGAGUGGGUUUUACCGAAGUAGUUAGCUAACCGUAGGCGAUUACCACGGUAAGUUCUGGCUGGUGAAGUCGUAACAAGGUAA
rnacentral:rRNA from 1 species